rnacentral:rRNA from 1 species
CCUACGGGCGGCUGCAGUGAGGAAUAUUGGUCAAUGGACGAGAGUCUGAACCAGCCAAGUAGCGUGAAGGAUGACUGCCCUAUGGGUUGUAAACUUCUUUUAUAUGGGAAUAAAACGUUCCACGUGUGGGAUUUUGUAUGUACCAUAUGAAUAAGGAUCGGCUAACUCCGUGCCAGCAGCCGCGGUAAUACGGAGGAUCCGAGCGUUAUCCGGAUUUAUUGGGUUUAAAGGGAGCGUAGGUGGAUUGUUAAGUCAGUUGUGAAAGUUUGCGGCUCAACCGUAAAAUUGCAGUUGAAACUGGCAGUCUUGAGUACAGUAGAGGUGGGCGGAAUUCGUGGUGUAGCGGUGAAAUGCUGAGAUAUCACGAAGAACUCCGAUUGCGAAGGCAGUUCACUGGACUGCAACUGACACUGAGGCUCGAAAGUGUGGGUAUCAAACAGGAUUAGAUACCCUGGUAGUC